rnacentral:rRNA from 1 species
AUUGAACGCUGGCGGCAUGCUUUACACAUGCAAGUCGAACGGUAACAGGCCGCAAGGUGCUGACGAGUGGCGAACGGGUGAGUAAUGCAUCGGAACGUGCCCAGUCGUGGGGGAUAACGCAGCGAAAGAUGCGCUAAUACCGCAUACGAUCUAUGGAUGAAAGCGGGGGACCGAAAGGCCCCGCGGGAUUGGAGCGGCCGAAGUCAGAUUAGGUAGUGGGUGGGGUAAAGGCCCACCAAGCCAACGAUCUGUAGCUGGUCUGAGAGGACGACCAGCCACACUGGGACUGAGACACGGCCCAGACUCCUACGGGAGGCAGCAGUGGGGAAUUUUGGACAAUGGGCGCAAGCCUGAUCCAGCAAUGCCGCGUGCAGGAAGAAGGCCUUCGGGUUAUAAACUGCUUUUGUACGGAACGAAACGGUCCGGGUUAAUACCCUGGGCUAAUGACGGUACCGUAAGAAUAAGCACCGGCUAACUACGUGCCAGCCGCCGCGGUAACAC